GACGAACGCUGGCGGCGUGCUUAACACAUGCAAGUCGAACGGAAAGGCCCUGCUUUUGUGGGGUGCUCGAGUGGCGAACGGGUGAGUAACACGUGAGUAACCUGCCCUUGACUUUGGGAUAACUUCAGGAAACUGGGGCUAAUACCGGAUAGGAGCUCCUGCUGCAUGGUGGGGGUUGGAAAGUUUCGGCGGUUGGGGAUGGACUCGCGGCUUAUCAGCUUGUUGGUGGGGUAGUGGCUUACCAAGGCUUUGACGGGUAGCCAGCCUGAGAGGGUGACCGGCCACAUUGGGACUGAGAUACGGCCCAGACUCCUACGGGAGGCAGCAGUGGGGAAUAUUGCACAAUGGGCGGAAGCCUGAUGCAGCAACGCCGCGUGCGGGAUGACGGCCUUCGGGUUGUAAACCGCUUUCGCCUGUGACGAAGCGUGAGUGAUGGUAAUGGGUAAAGAAGCACCGGCUAACUACGUG
rnacentral:rRNA from 1 species